GGCCUCGUAGCUCAGUUGGCUAGAGCGUUGGCUGUAUUAAAGCCUUCCCCUUGCUGGGUGUGGGUUCGAGACCCACCGAGGCCG
rnacentral:tRNA from 1 species